AAUGUCAUACUAAGAAUGAUGAAGUCCUGUUAUCUGUCUAUUUUUUCAAAUACGGAUGAUUUAAAAAUAAACCUAAUGUAUAUAGCACAUGCUAAAAUACAAUCAAAUCUCACAAAGUGCCAAAUAAGUAACAUCGAUCACUAAAAAAUACAUUUCAAUCAUAGCUUAUUAAAACAGUAUUAAUUUGAUUGCGGCAAAUGGUCUGAAAUGCAUUAGACAUUAAUGGAAGACAAAAUGUAUUCAUUUUUAUUGUCAUCAGUUUAAUGUAGCCUACAUAUUCAUUUUGCUUGCAGGGAUCAUUUUAAAGCUCAAACUGACUUCCUACACUAGUCCAUGUUCUCUCUAGGGAAGCUCGUUUUAAAUUCUGAGUAGUGAGCUCGCUGUAAAAUGUGCUUUUACUUGUUUGUUAUUUUAGGAUAUUAUUCUGUCAGUAUAACAAAGUAUUCAAGUUGUCAUGAUAACACAACAUUACUAGUUAGUAACAUAUCUACGACAAAUAAAACGCUAAUUUGAAAAUUAAUUCAAUUGAAUUAACACGCUAGUAGUAUAUUUUAAGUCAACUUGAUUAAGGAAGUAGUCGCGGCCGUUAUCAAAGUGCAUUAUGGGGUUGGCGGGCGAAGUUGACUUCCUUUCCGUCCUUGAGCCUUUUCGGACCAGGCUUCAGUAGCAUCACCGGCUCAGACUGUUUUCAAGGUUGCUGGUUCCAAAAUGAUCUGGAAGUGUAAGUUGUGCGCAGCUUCUUUCACCUCCAGAAUACAGUUAUUUAGACACUAUAGGCUGCAACAAGAUGAGACGGGCUGGAUGUCAGGAGGUCACUGUUAAUGCUG